ACCUCUUCUCCAGGUGUUCCCUCUAAAGCUUCUACGAUGAUACCACCGCAACCUGCUGAAGAUAAUACAGUCUUUUUAAAGAUUAUCUUCCCCAUCUCCAUUAUCACCUCCAUCAUCAUCUCCGUCAUCAUUACGUGUCUUGGUUUCAAGUACCGGCAACGACUUAAGAACUUACUGGCAGGAUUCGUGGAUGCCUUCAGAAGACCGAAAAUCUGCAAGACCAAUGAUGUAACAAUCUGACAGCUCUCGAGACUGACAUUGCCGAACUAGUGAAUCCUCGAAUAGGUUUAAAGGGCAGGAGUCAUGUAUUAUGUAUUGUGUAUUUGUUUUUAUUUGUUGUUGUUGUAAUUUUUACCAUGUGUUUUGUCACACGCCUACAUGGCUCCUUUGAAAAGCAGGCCUUGUGGCUCUGAAGUGACUACCCUGUAUUUUAAAGACGACUGAAUAAAUAAAUAAAUUAAUAUAUAUAUAAACUAGCACAUUGACUUGGUUUCGAAC